GCCUAGCUGGCUCAGUCAGUAGAGCGUGUGACUCCUGAUCUCGCGGUUGUGAGUUCAAGCCCCAUGUUGGGUG
rnacentral:tRNA from 1 species